ensembl:lncRNA
CAAGAAGCCAGCUGCCAUGUCACAAGUAACACGACAGAGAGGUCCUUGUAAUGGGAACUGAGGCUUCCUGCCCACAGCCAGGUGAGUGACACUGGGAGCAGACCUCUCAGCCCGUCAAGCCUUUGGAUGAAUGCAGCCUCAUGGAAGACCCUGAGCCAGAACUGCCCAGCUAGGCAGCUGCUGAAUCCCUGACCUACAGACACUGAGAUAUAAUAAACAGCUGUGUAUUAAAUGAUGAAGUGUGAGGUAAUGUGUUACGGAACAAUAAAUAACUCAUGCAACUCCUUUUUCGGCUGCAAGAUGAACAGAUCUCUGGCCCCAGCGCAAUGCCACAACUGCUUAACAUGUAUUCAUGUAGAUGUUGGGAGAGAGAAAGGAUUAGCCAGGUCUAUGAUGUCCAUUAUCCUGGCUUCAGUUUGCAUACAUUGACUUCUUCCUUCUCUGUUGCUUUUUCUACUUCUCUCAUGUUGACCAGAGUACUCAGUAAACUAAAAAAUCCAGCUCUAGCAAAGCAAUCAGUUUUAUAAGUCUGCAGGCUUUAGUUAAAGGAACUGUCCUAUGUAAAUAUAGUAUUUUAUAAUAUUUUAGAAAUGUGGUUAAUUUCUAUUGACAGAAUCCCUCAUCGUGGCUGUCAGAUCCUAACUAGGCCCAUCCGUAUCUCAACAGAGGAGCAUGUCUUAUAUUCACAGAGAAAACAGAAGCAACAGACAGAAUCUCUUUUAUGAGACUGAUGGGCUGCCCACUGCACUAAGAAGCCAACUCAGCCAAGGAGAGGAAAAGACAAGUCAGAAUUACAAGGCCUAACUCCUUCAUCCCAGGAUCCUUGCCUGCGGAAUGAGGAGAGGGGGCUGGGGACCAUGCCUCCAUUUUGUCAGUAAUGCCUCAUGCGGCUCCCGACAGACUAUGGAAAUCUCUGAAGACCAGCUAAAGAAUAUUUCUCAGAAAUUUUGUUUGAAGUUCCCAGAAGGUUGAAACAGCUAGAAAUGGAAGGACACUCCAGGAAGAAAGAAGAGAGCAAGCUAGUCUGUCAUAAUCUGCACUUUGGCUGUUCACAACUUUCAAGACGUGCAUUGAAGGUUGGAUGGAUUGAGGAGAGGCACAAUGGAAUAAUUUCACUUGCUCACAGGCUGCCAUGUGCAGAAGCCUCCUGCUGGUGCUUCAGACCAGAGUUCCUCUGCUGAAGGGCUGUGCCGACUCUGCUCAGGGAUGUAGGCAGAAGGACCAAGCACAACUCAGAGAUUCAAGAUGGCGGCGGCCAGUUGAGUGCAAGCAGAGCAACACAUCUGGAUGUUCCCACGAGAACUCCACCCACUUCCACACCGGCAGCUUCAUCAGCCCUCCCCACAGCCUGUCUGUCAGGGAGAUACUGCGGUCUAGCAGUGGUUCCCCAAAUUUUUGGCACCAGGGACCACCUUCAUGGAAGACAGUUUUUCCAUAAACAAUGGCAUUGGGGACUAGGG